GUUCGCUAUGCUUGUAAAUUAAUACAGGCUAGAGAUUCAAUUCAAGAAAGUUCGGAAGGUGCGAAAUAUUAACAAGAUUCCGAUAGUCGGGUCCAGGUCCCGACCAUUGGAAUGUAGGCCUGCGCCGAACGUAUGCGCAGAACGGUCUUUACAUCAAUAAUCGGAGAUUAUAACGGUCUUUAUAUCAAUAAUCGGACGAAAUCGCAGAUUCGACUGCGCAUCCAAUCUCGUUCCCCGAGCCUGCGAUCCUCGGGAAGGAACGUGAGGCUCUGGGAUAAUCCGUUUCAGGGAGGAAUCUGAUUGGCCGAAUUGGCCGUUGAAAUGGAAUGCGCAGUACAAUCUUUAGCCAGGAUUCCUUGCUUCCGGCAACGGAUUAUCACAGAGCCUCACGUUCCUCCCCGAGGAUCGCAGGCUCGAGGGACGAGAUUGCUGCGCAUCGAAAUAACGCGUUCUGCAAAGGGAACAAAAUUGCUGUUGAACCACAACAUCUACUUGAUGCAUUUCAAAGUAAGUGUUUAAUCAUUGUUUGUGUUUCAUUUAUAGUCACAAUAGAAUUCAAAUUAAAUAAUUUUUGUACUACCAUAUAUUUUGGCUACUGUGUAAAGCAAAAUAAAUAAAGGCACACCUAAGGGAAUAUAUUUUCUAAUUUAAAGCGAAUCAACGGUACUGCGGAAAUGAUUCUGUUGCAUAUUCAAAUAAUGAUUGAACAGUUGAAUACUUUGAUAUGCAUAUUCUAAUUAUUGCAGUCUCAACUACAUGUUAUAGUUCGACUGCAAUUUGUUCUCUGCGCAGAACGCGUCAUAUGGAUGCGCAGACGAAACUCCGAUUUAUGCAUAACAGUCCUUCCACUUGGGUUAGCAGUGGACAGGAAACCGUUGAGAUUAUAUCAUAAUAUUAAAUCCGUCACAUUCUUUACAAAUCAAAUUGUUAGGUGAAUAAAUCACUUGUACUAUCCAGCAAAUAUCGUCUAUUUCUACAUCUCUUCUAAUCAGUUAAAAACCGUUUUGGACACUACAUCAGUGAGGUCUCUUGAUGCGGCCAGAAUGGUGCGACCUCAUUAGUUAUUCACUAUCAAAUUUAAUUAAGAAGGAAAACAGGUCACUGAUGACCAAUUUCUACAUAGACAUUAAAAACUCAUUAAUAAUUAGUUCUUUGUAGGUUUGCAUGGCGAUAAAACAUACAACAAUACUAUUGUUUGUAGAAACACCACGUAAUAAAUUUACGUGGUGUUUCCACAAACAAUUAUAGUAUUAUAUCAUUAAUAAUUCAUUAGGAAAAGACAAUGGAAAUCACUGCCGUGUAUAGGUGGUUUUAUAAGUAAUAAAAAAUCAUGCUCAUUCACAUAUAGUUCAGCUUUGCUUUCUCGGCUUAGACAACGUUUACUUUUAAAAUGACUUCGUCAAUAAACUCAUCAGAUGGGUCGUUUUUUAAGUACUACUUAA